ensembl:lncRNA
CACAGAAACCAGAGAGCUUGAGAAGCUGAUCACAUUCACCAGAGUUCCUUUGCAGGGAAGGGGCUGCUGGCCCUUAGUACAUAACAGGGUCCUGUUGUUCUCGAUCUCCUAAUAACUCAAUGGUUUUGAGCUGCCUAUGCUGAGAAAGCUAACAUCCGAGGAGGCACAGCUGGACGCGAGACACGCCACACUGCGCAGGGCGUUUGGGACGGAGAGUUUAUUUAGCCAUACCACGAUGAGUCCCGAGGCGCCAGAUUGUUUCCUACCUUCCCUCCACUACACUGUUCCUCCUCCUGGGACCGAGACAGGCCACGCUGAUGGAGAGCACGUGUCCGAGCUCAGGCGGAGCUGGGCGGUCUGGUAAGGUCAGCACUGGCCGA